CUGGCAUGCAGGAUGAUGUACAUAUAUCAGUAACAGCUCAGAAAUCAGCAUUUUGAUUAUGUGAAGUACUUUUUGCCUUCAUUUUCAGUUUCUAAACUUGUUAUGACUCAACAGAAUCAUAACAAAGUUAUGAAGUUGGACAAAGUAAAGGGAAACCAAAACAUCUUCAUUGACUGGCAGCCUUCUGCCAGAAGAUGCUACAAUUGCAGGGUAACUUUGAUGCAAUUGCUCUGAGUUAUCACAUAUUUUACGUAUGUGCAUAUCCAAAAAAGAUGGAAAGAGGCGUUACCUUAGGCUCUCAACAGGACAAGAGGUAAUGGCCUUAAAUUGCAUGGGGGCUGAGGGGAGACAUGUCAGGUUGGAUAUUAGGAAAAAUUUCUUCUCAGAAAGGGUGGUGAUGCACUUGAAGAGGAUGCCAAGAGAGUUGGUAGAGUCACUGCUCCAGGAGAUGCUCAAGAAGCAUGGAGGUAUGGCACUGAGAGACACAGUUUAGUGGGCAAUAUUGGUGGCAGGUGGAUGGUUGGACUAGAUGAUCUUGGAGGUCUUUUACAACUUUAAUGAUCCUGUGAUUCUUAAAAUUAUACAAUUGAUUGUUAAUUUGGGUAUAGGCUGUUCUGGAAGAAAAGAGAUCAGAAAAGGAGCAAAAAUAACCCUUCAAAACUAGAAGAGAAAACCAGCUGAGCACCCUAAAACUCUGAACUUGGAAUUCAUAAGGCAGAUGCAAGUGAUCCCCAGAGGGCAAACGUAAUCGUUGGGAUUCUCAAAAUUCCCUGCCUGUCUGCCACAUCUUUCUCUUUGGGUCUUGCUUAGCUUUCUGCGUUUGAGCCAAUCAGGAAGUUGGCAAAAUAAAGAUCAUUCUGUAAGGGCCCCUUGUAAGGCCCCAUCUGGAGUACUGUGUCCAGUUCUGGGGCCCCCAGCACAAGAAGGAUGUGAAGCUGGUAGGAUGGGUUCAAAAGAGGGCUACAAAGAUGAUCAGAGAAAAAAAAAGUUGAGGGAUUUUGGCUUGUUUAGCUUGGAGAAGAAAGUGUUCAGAGAAGACCUCAUCACGGAUUUCCAAUACUUAAAGGGAGUUUACAAGCAUUAGGGAGACAGACUUUUACGAAGUCAGAAGACAGGACAAUGAGGAAGGGCUUUAAUCUAAAAGAAGGGAGAUGGAGGUUAGAUGUUAGGAAGAGAUUUUUUACUCAGAGGGCAGUGAGACACUGACACAGGCUGUCUGGAGUGGUUGUGGAUGUCCCAUUCCUGCAGACAUUCAAGGCCAUGUUGAAUAGGGCCCUGGGCAACCUGAUCGGGUGGGCGGCAACCUGCCAACAGCAAGUGUUCUGAACAAGAUGAUCUUUAAGGUCCCUUCCAACCUAAGCCAUCUGUGGAUAAAACGAGCCACAUCCUGUCCCUCCCUCUAUACUUUUAUCAUGCUGAGACCUCCAGCUCCCAAAAUGUGGUGCAAGUCACGGGAAGGGCUAGGGGAGUCAAACUCUCUGAAAUUAGAAUUUCAGAUAGUGAGCUGAUGCUUUCUUCCUCAAAAAAUGCAAAAUAACCCAACAAUGCUUCCCAUUAAUUCCCCACAUUCCCAUGUUUUGAAGGCUCACAAAGAAUGAGUUCUGUACUGCUGGCACCCCAGCAGGCUGAGCUUCCAGUUGGGCAGUGGGGCAGGAGCCAAGAGUGCAGAGCAUCUCAGGGCACUGCUACCUGCGCUCCUUCCUGCUGAACCUCUGCCAGCAGCCUCCGCCAGCACAGCAGAGCCAUGGAGGAACUGAACAGCAUGUUUGUAAGCUAAACAGGAAGGGAAGCAUGCCAGACACUUACAUCACCUGACAGAUGUGCUUCUCAAGCAUGCAAGUUUAUUUAAGGCUUUUUCAUGGUGUGUGCUGACCCAAAAUCAAUAAAUAAAUGAAUAAAUAAAUAAAAGGGGGAGGGACAGGGGGAGAAAGGAAGGAAGGAAAGAAAGAGAGAGAGAAUUGGUGUCAUGCUCAACAUGUUUUGCACCCUGUAAAAGGGAAUUAAGUGACUGAAGCUCCCCGCCUCCCUCUUCUUUAUGUCUGGAAGUGAGCCCUUCUGAAACACUAUAGCUACUGGCUGCACAGCCACACAUAAUAACAUGGUAGCAACACAUAAACCUGUCAGUCUUGGAUGGAAAUAGAUGGUUAGGCUGAGGGGGUAAACAGACUAAAUCAAUUUGAACAUGCAUGUUAAGGACUGUGAAAGGGCAGAGUUUAGUGCUGCUAGGCUGGAAAACAUUUGUCUCUGUCUCGUUGUAUUUCCCUGCCAUUCAGCGGCAUCCACCCACAGGCCUCUCGCUUGGCUCCAGUCAGGCUCCACGGCUGAUUAAUGGCAGCUGGAGGUGUCCAGUAAUUUCCUCACCUUAUAAUAAACUACAACCCAAAACAGAGGUUCCCCUCAGGCCCACAUUUAACAUAGCUCUACUUACUACCAGGAGAAAGCCAAUUAUCAUGUGUCUGCUCACGGCUUAAGUGAGCAGGUUUAAGUGGCUUUGAGAGGUUACUUAGCUGACUUUGGGCAUAUCAUCUUUGUCUGUGGCAGAGUAAACAAGGCUCAGAUAACAUCUGCAUCACUCUUGCAAAGGAAUUGUACAAAAAGAAGAAAGCGGGAAGAAAGGGGGAAGAAAGGGGGGCAUCCUCACAACUGGAAUAUAGCCUCCUUUAAAAAAAUCUUAACAGCAAUAUGAUCUUAAAAACAGAUUUUUUUUCUCUAAUUCAAAUCCCAGGGUCACCAAUGCACACAAUUACAAUUUCAGUGUCUGAGGCUUAAGCAAUCAGUCUGGCUCACCACUUCCUACCCAAGGGUGCCCAAUAAAGUGUUUUAUAUGAAGAGACAUCCUUAACAAGAACUUUUCCAGAUUUUGCUAGCAAUUAAAGCAGAGCCUUGUUACUGAAGGAGUGGCAUAGCUUUGUGCCUCAGUAUUGAGUACAAAGGCAGUAUUGUUUACAUGGGCAUCAUUCUGACUACACAGUAUUACCUCUAUAUUUGUAAUGAUAGCUCAACUAUCUACUUGACUAAUAGGAUGGAGGCCUGGCUGUCAACAACUGAUAGCAGUAUUUAGAGCAUGAGAUAAUCUAUCACUCUAAUAAAUAAGAAAAGCUUAACAUAAGAAAAUGCAGUUAAAACCACAGAACUAUUCUGUGUGCACCCAGCAGUGCCACUAAAAUGGAACAAGGCAUCAGCCAACAUAAGAAGAGUUUCUUUUACCGGCAGCUGAUUGCAGUUUCUUUUCCCUAGGAUACAAUGGUGAAGUUGAUGGAACUAAUGAGUGGAAAUUAGGUAUUCUGUGGACAGAAGAGCUUGUAACUUCAUGUGUGAUACAGCACCAUGUGCCGUGUGCGCAUGUGUAUAGCACCAUAUUUGAUGUAAGGAAGAGUAAUGCAACCGAAUGCAGAUUUCUACCUUUCAUGUAUAUAAGUGAAAGAAUAUCAAGGUAGAUGCACAAAGAAUACUGGAAUAAUGUUUGAUUUGUAAUGUGCAGCAAAAAGGUGAAAUAAGUCUGAGUAUACCACUAUUUCAGCACACAGGCUAUAGCAAGCAAUGCAGAUGCCAACAUUCUUGCAGUAGUACUUCCUUUCUAUAGGGACAGGAUAUACACGAUGCCAAAAAAAGGAAUGGUGUUCCAUAUGGUUUGACAGGUCCUGUUAAUACCUGCGGUUCUUAAUCUCUGUCAAAAUGUGAAAAUGAAAAAAAUGCUUCUGUUUAUGUGCCCAAGUGUGCUUUUCUGCAGGAACAAAUCCAAUUAGCAUGUGGACACUGAGGAAAGAUUGUCAGACACAGAGCAUUGCUGUCAAUGUCUGGUCACACAGGCAACUGCUGGCACUAGAGGAUUAAAAGUUUUAUGCCAAAUAAAAAACAAUCUGUUCAGAAACUAGGCAUACCAGAAGCAAGCUCAGAGUGCACAAUGCUGCCCAAGAGAAGGAUAUUUGUUGCUUUGCAGAACUAAACGCACGGCCAACCAGGCCACCCCUCUCCUGGAUUCCUACUUCACCAUGCCAUAUCUUUUUCGGCCAUGACUGUACUUCGCUUAUGAAAAACAGUUAUCUUAAUCCUCCUAAUGUUGCUAUUUCACCUUUGUGAUAGUUGCACUGGUUCUGCUCUUAGGACUCUGAUUAAUUUCCUUUCCCGAGUGAGAUGUCUGUAUGUAUGUCAGAGCACGUUUGGUCCUUUUCAUUCAGGAAUUUUGUUGGGAAACACAGAAUUUCUUUCUCCUGUCAAUUUGUAGUAGCUAUUAUUAUGGAUUUCCAUUUUUUUUUUCACAACACAUGCUGAUGAGACCAUGGGGUGGGCUUUGUGGUCAGUAUUAGUCAAUCUACUUAAAAGAAGAAAAGUGGUAGAGAAAAUGAGCUUUAUAGAGGAUAUGGAACAUUUCAACAGUCUACAGUGUGACAGAGAGCGCACAAAAUACAGCAGAGCUUAUGUGCUGGGCCAAAGUAACUAGUGAAUCCGAGAUAAUAACAGCAAUAUUUCUUGUUAUCAGUGAUAUUCAGAAAAAAUAUUAGAAAGGUUCUGAUUUUAUUGUAUAGAUAGUUAUAUUUCAGUGAACACUUGAAAGACC